CGGGGUGCACCAGGCGCGAAAACUCUACAAUGCAGGCAACUGCGAUAGGGGAACAUCGAGUGAUCCUCAUAUUGGGGGUCUGUCCACCCGCCUAAAAAGCGGGUGUUAGCAAGGGCCGGGCAAGACCGGUGCCAGCCGCCGCGGUAAUACCGGCGGCUCGAGUGGUGGCCGAUAUUAUUGAGUCUAAAGGGUCCGUAGCCGGCUUUGCAAGUCUCUCGGGAAAUCCAGCGGCUUAACCGUUGGUCGUCCGGGGGGUACUACAUUGCUUGGGACUGGGAGAGGUAGGAGGUACUCAGGGGGUAGGAGUGAAAUCCUGUAAUCCUUUGGGGACCACCGGUGGCGAAGGCGUCCUACCAGAACAGGUCCGACGGUGAGGGACGAAAGCUAGGGGCACGAACCGGAUUGGAUACCCGGGUAGCCCUAGCCGUAAACGAUGCUCGCUAGGUGUCACAACAGUCGUGAACUGUUGUGGUGCCGUAGGGAAGCCGUGAAGCGAGCCACUUGGGAAGUACGACCGCAAGGAUGAAACUUAAA
rnacentral:rRNA from 1 species